UCUUUUGGUUAGGUCUUCUUUGAUCUGCGAUAUUUAAAAUGCAAUAUUUAUUCUAUUCGUUUUAUGAACAUUAUUUUGUUUGCAUUUCACUAAUAGUUUUGGUGCUAAUUUUUGCAGAUCUGAACUAUAAUGAGAUUGAACAAAACUUCCAAAUCUAAAAUGAGAUCAUGUAAAAUUGAAACCUCGACCUUUAUAAUUUUGGUUCCAUCAAAAACAUAAAAGAUUAAUUUUUUACAUCCAAGAACUACCAAACAUACAAAUCUAAGUUUUACUUCCUUCUUCUCACAGUUGUUUUGGUAAGUUUGUGAAAAUUCAACUAAAGGGAGAAUUUUGAAGGUGCUAUCUGAACUUGCCUAUUAAGAAGAUCAUGUAUUUGUUGGUUCUCAAAUCCAUAAAGAAAUUGUCAUUUUUAUAUGAUUU